rnacentral:tRNA from 1 species
AGGGCUAUAGCUCAGUUAAAUUAGUUUGAUCUGUUUUACCGAGAAGGUCUACGGUUCGAGUCCGUAUAGCCCUA